rnacentral:rRNA from 1 species
CAGUCGCCGCGGGAAUACGUAGGGUGCGAGCGUUAAUCGGAAUUACUGGGCGUAAAGCGUGCGCAGGCGGUUGUGCAAGACAGAUGUGAAAUCCCCGAGCUUAACUUGGGAACUGCAUUUGUGACUGCACGGCUAGAGUGUGUCAGAGGGGGGUAGAAUUCCACGUGUAGCAGUGAAAUGCGUAGAUAUGUGGAGGAAUACCGAUGGCGAAGGCAGCCCCCUGGGAUAACACUGACGCUCAUGCACGAAAGCGUGGGGAGCAAACAGGAUUAGAUACCCCCGUAGUCCCUGUCUCUUAUAC